rnacentral:rRNA from 1 species
GACGAACGCUGGCGGCGUGCUUAACACAUGCAAGUCGAACGGAAAGGCCCUGCUUGCAGGGUCCUCGAGUGGCGAACGGGUGAGUAACACGUGGGUGAUCUGCCCUGCACUUCGGGAUAAGCCUGGGAAACUGGGUCUAAUACCGGAUAUGACCUUCCAUGUAGUGUGGGGGGUGGAAAGAUUUAUCGGUGUGGGAUGAGCCCGCGGCCUAUCAGCUUGUUGGUGGGGUAAUGGCCUACCAAGGCGUCGACGGGUAGCCGGCCUGAGAGGGUGGACGGCCACAUUGGGACUGAGAUACGGCCCAGACUCCUACGGGAGGCAGCAGUGGGGAAUAUUGCACAAUGGGCGGAAGCCUGAUGCAGCGACGCCGCGUGGGGGAUGACGGCCUUCGGGUUGUAAACCUCUUUCGACAGGGACGAAGCUUCGGUGACGGUACCUGUAUAAGAAGCACCGGCUAACUACGUG